rnacentral:tRNA from 1 species
GGUUGUGGCACAGUGGUAGAGUGCUCGCCUAGCACAUGCGAGGCCCUGGGUUCAAUCCUCAGCACCA